rnacentral:rRNA from 1 species
CCUACGGGAGGCAGCAGUGAGGAAUAUUGGUCAAUGGGCGGAAGCCUGAACCAGCGAAGUCGCGUGAGGGAGUAAGGCCCUACGGGUCGUAAACCUCUUUUGCCGGGGAGCAGUGCCCAGCUCGUGAGCUGGGAUGGAGCGUACCCGCAGAAAAAGCAUCGGCUAACUCCGUGCCAGCAGCCGCGGUAAUACGGAGGAUGCGAGCGUUAUCCGGAUUUAUUGGGUUAACGGGGUGCGUAGGCGGGCCUUCAGGCCGGCGGUAAAAGUGCGGGGCUCAACCCCGCCGAGCCGUCGGAACCGGGGGACUUGAGUACCGGAGAAGUACGCGGAAUGCGUGGUGUAGCGGUGAAAUGCAUAGAUAUCACGCAGAACCCCGAUUGCGAAGGCAGCGUACCGGCCGGUCACUGACGCUGAGGCACGAAAGCGCGGGUAUCGAACAGGAUUAGAUACCCUGGUAGUC